rnacentral:rRNA from 1 species
AGUGAACGCUGGCGGUAGGCCUAACACAUGCCAGUCGAACGGCAGCACAGUAAGAGCUUGCUCUUACGGGUGGCGAGUGGCGGACGGGUCAGGAAUACAUCGGAAUCUACUUUUUCGUGGGGGAUAACGUAGGGAAACUUACGCUAAUACCGCAUACGACCUACGGGUGAAAGCAGGGGAUCUUCGGACCUUGCGCGAUUGAAUGAGCCGAUGUCGGAUUAGCUAGUUGGCGGGGUAAAGGCCCACCAAGGCGACGAUCCGUAGCUGGUCUGAGAGGAUGAUCAGCCACACUGGAACUGAGACACGGUCCAGACUCCUACGGGAGGCAGCAGUGGGGAAUAUUGGACAAUGGGCGCAAGCCUGAUCCAGCCAUACCGCGUGGGUGAAGAAGGCCUUCGGGUUGUAAAGCCCUUUUGUUGGGAAAGAAAAGCAGCAGGUUAAUACCCCGCUGUUCUGACGGUACCCAAAGAAUAAGCACCGGCUAACUUCGUG